UGUGAAGAAGGCCUUCGGGUUGUAAAGCACUUUUGUCCGGAAAGAAAACUUUCGCCCUAAUAUGGUGGUGGGAUGACGGUACCGGAAGAAUAAGCACCGGCUAACUACGUGCCAGCAGCCGCGGUAAUACGUAGGGUGCGAGCGUUAAUCGGAAUUACUGGGCGUAAAGCGUGCGCAGGCGGUCUGUUAAGACCGAUGUGAAAUCCCCGGGCUUAACCUGGGAACUGCAUUGGUGACUGGCAGGCUUUGAGUGUGGCAGAGGGAGGUAGAAUUCCACGUGUAGCAGUGAAAUGCGUAGAGAUGUGGAGGAAUACCGAUGGCGAAGGCAGCCUCCUGGGCCAACACUGACGCUCAUGCACGAAAGCGUGGGGAGCAAACAGGAUUAGAUACCCUGGUAGUCCACGCCCUAAACGAUGUCAACUAGUUGUUGGGGAUUCAUUUCCUUAGUAACGUAGCUAACGCGUGAAGUUGACCGCCUGGGGAGUACGGUCGCAAGAUUAAAACUCAAAGGAAUUGACGGGGACCCGCACAAGCGGUGGAUGAUGUGGAUUAAUUCGAUGCAACGCGAAAAACCUUACCUACCCUUGACAUGGUCGGAAUCC
rnacentral:rRNA from 1 species